GACGAACGCUGGCGGCGUGCUUAACACAUGCAAGUCGAACGGAAAGGCCCUGCUUUUGUGGGGUGCUCGAGUGGCGAACGGGUGAGUAACACGUGAGUAACCUGCCCUUGACUUUGGGAUAACUUCAGGAAACUGGGGCUAAUACCGGAUAGGAGCUCCUGCUGCAUGGUGGGGGUUGGAAAGUUUCGGCGGUUGGGGAUGGACUCGCGGCUUAUCAGCUUGUUGGUGGGGUAGUGGCUUACCAAGGCUUUGACGGGUAGCCGGCCUGAGAGGGUGACCGGGCCGAAGUGGGAGGGGGAGCGGGCCCAGACUGCGAGAGAGGGGAGCAGUGGGAAAGAGAGCGAGAGGGGCGGAGGGCUGGGGCAGCAACGCGGCGGUGGGGAUGACGGCCGGCGGGUUGGAAUCCGCUGUCGCCGGGGAAGAGGAGUGAGUGAGGGGGAUGGGAAACGGCGCACCGGCACGCUACGUGACAGCGGCCGAGGUAAUACUCGGAAGAGCAAACGUCUGAAC
rnacentral:rRNA from 1 species